AAUCCGUAUCUGCUGUUUUCUGUUCAUAGGUUGAGGCGCUGUUCGUAGGUAGAGCCAUUAGUUCUCAAAGGAACUAAUGCAAAGCUGGGUAAUCCAUACUCUACCACUAGGAGGUGAAUUUUUUUAUUUUUUCUUAUUUUGAUCUAAGGUGAACUUAGGUCAAAAAAGGGCAGGAAAGUUUUUUCUUCUUUUUGGUUCGUAAGUCGAGGCUCUGUUUGCAGGUCAAAGCAACUUUUUGCAAACAGAGCCAUUCGUAACUCGAAUCAUUUGUAAGUAGGGAUGUUCUUAACUCGAGGUACCACUCUACUGAUAAUGUAGAAACCAAUUCUCUUUAGCACAUAUCUUCUCAUAUACCUGAACAGGGGGCCCUGAGAGGAGAAAGCAAGCAAGCAAGCAAGCAAGCAAAGAAAGAAAGAAAAAGAAAGAAAGAAAGAAAGAAAGAAAGAAAGAAAGAAAGAAAGAAAAAGCAAAAGAAAAGCAUGUUGCUUAUAUAUUGCUCCAGAAAGCACUCCCUGGGCAGUUUACAAUUUGAUUUUUCAGUCCACACAUUAUUCCCAUGCCCCAAAAUGAGCUGGGUACUCAAAUGUGCUGAUUUCAGAAUGAUCAAAGGCUGAGUGAACCUUGAGAUCGCACCUGGGUUGUGAGCAGAGUUUUGGCUGCGGCACUGCAGUUCAACCACUGCACCAUGAGGCUCUUCAGCACAUUCAUUGGAGCAAAGUUUCCCUUAUGAGCUGUGAAUUAUGAAAGCUGUGCUGCGACAUUGAAAGAAAAUAUUCACUCCCCAGGCCUUAAAAAUGCCUGGUGGUGUUCAAGACUCAGCUGGCUUCAGGAGUUGGUCUCGUUGGGCACCUCCCAAUGUCCACACUUCAGAGGGAGUCCUGCUGUUAGACCUUUGCCCUGACCGAGCGCCUUUUCACAGCUGCCACUGGCUCACAUCCUUUCUUCAAGCACACAGGUAUGAGGAGUUCAAGGAGAAUGAUCUGCAGCCUCCACACCUUGUCUUUUAUUCCUGAGCAGGGCUGUGGAUUGAGCUAAGAGGGAAAUACUGGGUGGUGAAAUGGGCAAAGACAGGAGUUCACUCAUAAAAGCCCACCCGCCCUCCAAACUGAAUCCACACACUUACACAUUCCCCAGUCAUUUCUCAGAGGUCAACACACAAGUGAAGACCACGACUCCUCAGCAGCAGUUGCAACAGUCCUGCAGCACAAAAACACUGAAACUGCACUCUGCACCUCAUUUCAGCAUGAGUCUUACAGAGCUCAGGGAAAAUUAGUUCUGAACACACAUGCCUAGGAUGACACUGUCCAAGUCCAAAAAUAUUAAACACUCUACAUUUUUAAAAGAAUGUGAAACUGUUAUGUCUCAAGCAGACAGAAACAAAACAGAUAUCAUGCACGCCCAACCUGUAACCCAGCCAUUUGGUCAGCAUUGUUACUGCACGGCAGUGCAGCAAAUGAUAUUGUGCAGCAGAGCAAAUCAACAGUCUACAAGGCAAUUCUAAAAAUGGGAACAACCCCAACAAAAAGGUAUAACUUAUAAACUGAGGUUCAGAUCAGCACCAAACAUGGUACAGGAGGAGUAGACAGUUUGAUGUUGCUCUGUACCACAUUUAGUGAUAUUUGGUUAAAUAAUUUGAGAAUUAAUGGGUUUUUUAGAAGUAUAAAUGUGAUUUCCCCCCUUCAUUCACAGAUAAUAAUUUUUGUCAGCAGAUAAGAAAUUGCUAAAAUAUAUUUCAAACACCUAACUUUUUACUUUUAAAAAUAGUAAUUACCUAAUCUCCUUUUAAAUUUUUUUUGCAUCAAAUCCAUCCAAUAGUUGUAAAAAAUUGUUAACUAAAAAGGCUCUUCAAGCAUGAAAAAAGGCCUUCAGCAUGCUCAGUAGAAGCUUGCUAGAAAGAACAAUGGUUCACAAGCGUUUACUUGCCCUUCAUUUGCUCCAUCAUCAUCUGGCGAGCUGAAUGAAGACAGCAACAGAGACCUGGACUUUUGUGAGUUUUUGCUCUUAAAGGGCUAG
rnacentral:lncRNA from 1 species